UGCAUUGAUCUUCUUUCCAUAUUCUUCUUUGCAUGACAUCAAUCACGUAUUAUCUUGCAUGUACUAAUUUUCCUUUUAUGUUUAGAUUGCAUGUGCUAAUUUUCUUUUCAUGUUUAGAUCAUUGAGUAAUGGUAGUGAUUGAUAUUAUCUUUCUUUCUGAACAAAUUUAUCUAACGGACUGAUAUAUCUAAUAAUCCCAAUUACAGAUAAAUUACUUACUCUUUCUGCAAGGUGAGUCGAGUAAGAAUAGAUUUUUUAAUGUGCAAUUUCUCUUCAAUCUAGGGUUUUCUGGUUCUCUGAUUGGAUCCCAACUCUAGGUUUUAUUAUUUAAAUGGUUCAAUUCGACGAUGAAUCUUGUGAAUCAUUUGAUUUAAUUUAAAGUUCUUCAUGAAUGUUUGAAGAAAUGCUUGAGAGGUCAAGCGUCUUAUUUUGGAGCAUAAAAUGGCUACAUACGGAAUUUUCUUCAUUUUUCAGUUGAAUUUGAGUAGGAAAAUUUAUUAAUUUGCUCUGGUUUGGAUUAUAUAGGAAAAAAGCAGGCACCAGCGAGACUGUAUAGCAUGUCCCCUGAAGUCAAUCAAAGCCUAACAUAAAAUUGAUUUAGAAUCAUCCCAUGGUUGCUUAGGAGAUGCUAAUAUAUUGUGGCUGUGGUGAUUUUGAAGGAACGGUAUGGACCAAUAGCAAUUUGUUUUGUGGUCCUGGGUACGUGAAUCAUGAAAAUCAACAUGGAUGGAAGGUUGAAUUCUGCGCCAGGGUUCAGGCCAUGUCUUACCUGGAAAUGCUCAUAUUAAGGUUAAUUACCUAUCACCUUUGUUUUUUCUAUGCUUCACAUCGGAUCUAUGCCUCAUAAUCCUCAAUGCAGUAUUCAAAUGCAUUUCUCAGUUUCAUUGGAGAUCGCUUCACAUCCAUAUGUCAACCCAUUUCCACUCUGCUCGGGCGGCCAUAUAACUAUCCCUAUUUACGGCAAGGGUUGCUAUUUGGGUUACAAUUUGGUGAAUACGUUACUGGGCAUUUUUUGGCGUUUUGAUAUAACAUUUCACUUCAGUUUCUAAAUGGCGUUCUUAGCAGUUUGUGGGUUUUCAUAUAAGCAGCAGGAUGCAAUGCAGUCAAAUCAGGAGAAAGAACGGAAACAAAAGCAUCAAUCAAGUGACAAAGAAAAGUAGCGGCCACCAAAUUUGUACUUUCAAAUUAUCCAUUCCCUUCCUAUUUGGUGGCUUUCUCAUCAUCCUCAAGAAACUAAUUACUUGAAAGUCUAUCUUUAUUGGUUUAACCGGGUGUUGCUCCGAAUUUUUUUGGAGUACUAAUGAGUUCUUUGGGGUUCUCGCGGCUUUUAGAGUCUCUCUUCAGUUAUGUACAGUAUGCCCUUAAAUUUUCCUUCAGGUUUCACACCAAUGACAUAUGGAUUAUGCACUGAGAUGUUCAAUCCUCACAAGAAAUCGAUAUACCUGGAGGAGCUAAGAGAUCAAUAUUUAUGUUUAAACUUGGAUGUGAAUGCACUGAGCUAACUUCAGUGCAGAUAGAAAUGAAAAAGAAAUUUAUUUUAUUUAAGGAAGUUAAAAGUACCGAUAGUAUAAAGACUUAUUUGCUGCAAUAGUCCUACUUACUUUGAUUUGGUCCAACCAUUUAUUGGACCAGCUCAAUUCUU